rnacentral:lncRNA from 1 species
AAGUGUUAGAGAAGCUUUUAAAUUUUGCUGUUGCGUUCACAGAGUUUAAGAAAUAUAUUAAUGACCCUGAGCUGAACUUUUACCUGUUACAGGUGGUCUGUGGCUGUGGUUUUGAGGUCCAUAUCGUGUGGGACCAGAGGCAGAGAUCUCCCUGUGCAGUCAGUGCAGAGGAUGUUGGAUUUCCUGUGCCCACCUGUCUCUGGCUGGAUCCAGCUCCCAAGAGUCCGUGGGAUCUGUGUGGAUGCCACUUGGUUGGUUCUGUGAAGAAAAGCUUCUUCCAGUGUUUCAUUUCCUCUCUGCUUUUCAGUGCUGCAGCUAAACACAAGCUAGAUUUCCACGGAGAGGCUGUGGGGUGUCCCACUUCUUGAAGACUACAGAAGAAUGCCAAAGGAAUUGAAAACAAGCAGCAAAAGCUUUAAAGUGUUCAAAAUAUUCUACCAGCUAUCUCAGAAUUUGCAGGCAGAUGGAAACAGAGCCAAAAGCGAGUCUGAGAAAUACUGACAGAAGAAAUUCUUAAGCAGCUUCUUUCUUCUUUAUAUUCAGAUUGUUAAACAAGGAUAUUUGAACUUUCUGUGCAUGGAAAAACACAGAGGGAAUCUGAUGGAUAUUUCUAUUUUAAUUUGAAAGACUACAGUAUAUCAGGGGAACAUGUGGGAAAGAAAUAUUAUGGAAGUGUGUAAUCUAUUUUAAGCUAACCUACUGUAGUAAGUGAAAAUGAGUGGAAAAAUAAUUGUGGCGGACUCUGAAUCACUUUAACACCAACACUGACUCACGUGUUUUGAAAUUGCAUAUUCUGCCUCAUCCACAUUCUACCUCCUUCCUGUUCUGGGGCUGUACUGAAUGUCUGGGUAAUACCCAUUGAUGCAGAUAAUGGUACUGCCACUUUCACCUUCCAAGCUCUGUUUCUGUGUUGAUCCUUGGCCAAAAUUCCUUCCUUUGGUAUAUUUAAUACAGGAGAUGCCAAAUACUUGCCAUUUUGCCUGUGUUUCAUUUACACUUAUUCCAUUUUGUCUUUGCAGGUAAAUAAUGAUGUGAAUUACCGGGGUUGCAGGGGGAAACUGGUGUUAAUGAAAUGCAAAAUUUAGCCUUCCUUGGCUUUGUUUUGAAUUACUGUUUUUCAUUUUAAUUAGAUUUGCAGCAGACUUCUACUUAAAAUGAAUACUUUUUUCUCUUAUUUUGUGACAAUCUCAGUAAUUACUUUUCUGGAUUUGUACUUUGGAAAGUUCUGUGUUUGGGUUUCUUUCUCUCACUGCCUCCUUCACAGGUUUCUGGAGUGCCUGGCUCCAUCA